rnacentral:rRNA from 1 species
UACGAAGGGUGCUAGCGUUGCUCGGAAUCACUGGGCGUAAAGCGCACGUAGGCGGCUUUUUAAGUCAGGGGUGAAAUCCUGGAGCUCAACUCCAGAACUGCCUUUGAUACUGAGAAGCUUGAGUCCGGGAGAGGUGAGUGGAACUGCGAGUGUAGAGGUGAAAUUCGUAGAUAUUCGCAAGAACACCAGUGGCGAAGGCGGCUCACUGGCCCGGUACUGACGCUGAGGUGCGAAAACGUGGGGAGCAAACAGG